rnacentral:rRNA from 1 species
AUGGAGAUGGGUGUGCAGGUCGUCGACGUGGGGUUGUUGCACGUGUAUGCCGAGGUGUUGGGCGACGACUCGAGGAGGCCGACGAACAGGACGCCCUUGCACCAGCAUGGCGGGGGGAGGCCAUGUAGCACGCGUUGCUCUGGCUGCCCUGUAUCCUGGACGCCACCGACAACGGGGGCUACGGCUGCACAUGUUUCCCGGCCACCUCCGACCAGGGGGCUCUCGCGACGUGUAUACGUUGGAGACGUAUCACUCUGCCACAACGAGGGCUCCGUCUGCACGUGUUGCUUUGUUUCCCGUCCGCCGCUGACCACUCGGGCUCUGGCUUCACAUGUUGCUCUGCGUCCACCGCUCCUUUGGCGACGGUGA